UUCCUCCAGCUCUAGACUUUUACCCAGCCGGAGGACCUUGGCGGGGUCGAGGUCACAUACCGAUACUUCCUCAACGUCCUCCAUAGGUUCUACGAUUUUUUCGAAUCGCACACAGGGAUCCAACUCAUCUUCUUCCACCAUUCCUGGCUCAAUAACAUCACGGACCAUCAAUAUUUGUAGGUGGGCAGCAACAUUGUAACACUGCCUAGCCUCUCCCUGGUUUCCCCUCACGGUCCCUAUCCCAGCCUCCUGAGUAGGGAACUUUAGACACAAGUGCAUGAUCCACGUAACUACGCCGAAAUCCACCAGGGUAGGUCGGCCGAGGAUUGCGUUGUAAGCUGUUGGCCAGUCCACCACUACAAAUGUGCAGUAUUUUAAAGUGCUUUGGGGUGUGUCUGGGCACAGGGUGACUGGCAACCUCACUUUUCCCAUUGCGAUGAGUGUUGUCCCGUUCAAUCCUGUGAGUUGGGAACCACUCGGCGAGAGAUCUCGGUCCGUGAGGCCUAUUGCCAUGAAGGCUUCUUUAAAUAAUAAAUUCACAGAACUCCCAUUGUCGAUUAGGAUUCUGGCCACAAUCUUGUUGGCGAUAGGAGUCUCUAUGACCAGAGGGUCAUGGUGAGGAAAACGCACCAUCUUAGCGUCCUCUUCUGUGAACGUAAUGGGUUGAUCCAUGAGUUGGGGCCUUUGAGGUGGGAGUUGAGUAACUUCCCAAACCUCACUGUGUUUCACGGCCCUGGCGCAACGUUUCAAUUCCUUUCGAGUAGUCCCUCCAAUAUGGGGUCCUCCAGAGAUCAUAGCUACUCUUCCAUUGGGUCUCGGUGGCAGGCCAAGUAUCUGCUAAAGUUCCCCCGGGGGAGCGACUAGUGCCAAUGUUGGAAAUUUUUACCAAGAUCUAGAUUUACUAACAAGUAUGUUUCAUUAACAUCCUAAUAUGAAUUCUAAAACAAUGAAAUAAACACAUAAGAGUUUAAGAGACCUUACAUUGGGUGCAGCGGAAUAUAAUGUCUCCUUCCGUUCAGAUAUCUAGCCCUUGAUUCCUUUCUAUAGCAGAGCAUUAUCAAUAUCUGAACCUGGAUCUCUUUCUCUCCUUCCUUUGAUGCUGAAUCUCUUUCUUGUUGGUUAAUUUUCCACAGUCUUACACACUAUGAUUGAGAUACCACUUGAUGUGUGUGGGCACUCACUCAUUCACUCAAGGAAUUCGAAAUUUAGAGAAGAAAAUAAGAGAGAAGGUGGUGGCUAGAAAUUUUCUGUGAAGGAAUGAGAUGUAUCUUCUUUUCCUGAAGCCAUCACUACCUAUUUAUAGGUAACCACCUAGGUUUAAGUUAUAAUUAUUUGGCAUUAAAAUAAUGAAAAAAUAAAUGAUAAAAUCCUAUAAGUGUGGCCGGCCAUGGGCUUUGGAUAAUGGGCCUCACUUAUGCAAUUUUGUUGUUUUAUCAUUCCUGCAUGUAGAAUUUACGUGGUAUAUGGUUUUUUUAAACCUUUUAUGAUAAAUAUGGCAUAUUUAACUAUGGACUCCUUUAUAUGGCUUUUUUCAACUUUGACAACAGUUUAUGGGAUUUUAAAGCCCAUAUGGCUGGAACUAUUUUGCCAAAAGCCCAUAUUGUGUGUUUUGUAGUUUCUUUGGGUUAUUUUAGUCAUUUUAAGUGUUUAAAUUAUUUGGUACAGUUUUUUUUUGAAGAUAACCGUUUAUUGUAGAGGGGUUUUUGCAUGUAAUCAUGGUGAUGUGAUGGUUGCUUCCCCAUUCUAACUUCCUUUUUCAGUUUUCAAGUAACACCUAUAAACCUCAUAAAUCGCCCAGUAUAUCACUCUCAUUUUCCCUCUCUCCUCUGUUCGGCUUCCUUCUUCUUAUUUCUGGUUAUUCAUGUUUUUUUUUUUUUUGCUUUUUGGCUACCGAUUUUGGGACGAAAUCAGCCACAUUGCGAUUUGGGAUUUUGGUUCCUCAAGGUAUUGCUUCUAUCUUUCCAUUUUAUUAAUUUUCAGAUGUUAGGUUUUUUUUUUCCAUUUUCAUUUAUGUGUUUUAUGAAGUUUUUUUGGUUGUUCAUGGAGUUUUUUUUUUUUUUGUUUUUUUAUAGUGUUUGUUGUUGUGUUAAACUGACAUUAUGGGUUAAUUUGAAAAUGGUUUAUGUGUUGCUCUUCUCCCUUAUUUCCACUCCUGCCACCUUUGUCUUCUUCUAUUUCCAUAACCAAAAAAUUUCAAUUCAAAAUGUGUGGAAUACUUGAUGUUCUUGGUUGCUCCGAUGACAUCCCAAAACACCACACUAUCAUUUCCUCCAAACUUCCAUUGAAGCUUCUUCACAUCUCUAGAUCUUUCGGCCCAGCCGUUGAACUCUCCACUAGGAAUUUCAGUCGUGUCGAGAAAGUUCUCUUCGCGAACACGUUCUCCUUCUUGUAUGCUUUCUUGUCUUGUGUUGGUCUGUCAAAUAGCAUUAUGGAAGAGAAAACUGUUCUAAUUAUUCUCCUUUACUUUUUGGGUAACCCGAAACCAAAAUAAAAUAAGAUUAUUUCAGUAAAACAAUGCCCCUGAAAUCAAGCAUUCCCUAACUGACCUUAUAAUAUUUUGUGACCAAAACUUUAUGACAAUAGCUAUGUAACUAUGCAAGAUGUACUCGAAUCUCAGACCUAGCAGGAACAAAUUACACAUUUGACAUUUGAGCUAUUUAGACAGGCUAAACUCCAGUUGGGUGAAAAAUGUUGGUAACAUUUAUUCCCAAGCAAGGAGACAAUUGUCAAACAAUAGUAAUAGGAAAAAAGCACCCGAGACACUUUACUAGUUUGCAUCCAAAUUCUGCUUUCUUUCAUUUGGCUGGAUACGAUUGGUUUUUAUCAGAAUUCCUUUUUGGUAAUUAUUCAGAUAAUGAAUGCAAGUUGGAUAGAAGCCCUAAUGAUUAUGUAUUUCUGUAUGUUUGGCUGUCUUCUUUCACAGACAAUUGUGUUUGUGUACAUAUAUAUAUGUAGAAAGUAAUGUAGUGUAACCAUUAUUUGGCUUAAUUAUUUCCAAAACACUUUUAAGAAUCAAGUAAAAGCAGUAGCAGAACCUGGUAGCCUUCGAUCGCGAACGAGCAAAGUAAUUUCUGCCCCUUUUUCUGAUUUGUUUUCAAGAGUUUCAAAUCUGUUAGUGUCAGUGUUAGCUUAAUUUUCUUGAGAAACCAGUUUCUCUAGUUUAAUUUGUGUUAUUUGUGCGUUCUGUGAUUUUAAAAAUUGUCAUUUGAAAACCUAUUUCUAUAUGAAGAUCUCAGUUUCUAUAUCAGGUGUUGUUUGGGCUUAUCCUAUACCUAAUUUGGAAUCAGUUAAAAACCAGUUUUUGAGAUUACAUUUUCUAUAUUACUUAGAAUUGAUGCAGGUGUUGUUUGGGAUCCUCAGAUUUUUGGUUUGUGAGGUGUUUUAAUGUUCAGGUUAAGCAUGUGAGAUUCAGGUUAAUGUCCUUCUUGCCUGUUGUUUGUUCUUGGUACAUAACCUCUUCAGGGGAAUAUAAGACAAUUAUAGUUAGACACUUGUGUUUUAGAGGUUCUAGAUUGAAAUAAACUAGUGUAAUCACUAGUACCCUACUGAAUGAUAUAAAAGGAGAAACUGGUUUCAAACAUCAAUGUAAUGCACAUAUUUGAUCAUACCUAUUUUGGAAACAUGUCAAAAACCAGAUUUUACAGAUUUAUUUGUGUUAUUUGUGCGCUCUGUGAUUUUUGGUGUGUGGGUGGUUUUAAGGUUAAGGUUGAGGUGUGUUAUUGUUAGUUUGUAUGAAACUGGUUUUCAUGUUAAUUAUCAUGACUGUUUUUGUUGUUUUGUGUCUAAUGUUUAUUUUGUGGUUUUUUUUAUCAGAUGGAGAGAGAAUCAGAUGAUAAAGUACCAUCUAAUGUUCAAAAGGUUGAGCCUUCUAAGAAGGCUAAAGGUCGACUGAAAAAAGAUUCACGCAAAGGCAAAGUAUGUUUUAUGUUUUGUAUUGAAACCAGUUUUUAUUAAUUGUAUAUGUUUUCUUUUUUGGUUAUUCUAAACUGGUUUUUAUUUUUUUUAUUGAAACUGAUGUUGUGUUGUUUUUUUUAAGGUUGAUCAUGUUAUGGAACCUUCGAAAGCUCCACCAUUAAGAAGAUCUCUAAGGAAAACUAAAGUAUGUAUUAAAUUUCACUGAACCCGAUUUCGAAUUUAUUUUAUGUUUCAUUACGGUUUGGUAUUUAUUUUAAUAUGUUAUAUAAUACUGGUUUUUUUUGGUUUGUUUGUGUUUCUUUUUAUCUGUUCUGUUCUGUUUUUUUUUAUGUUUAUUUUGUUUAUUUUUUCAGGAUGAUAUUCAAUUGCCUAAAGCUGAUGUUGUUUCUCAGAAACACGGUUGUAAAGAAGUUAGUAAGAAGGAUACGAAUGUCCUUCCAUCUGCGAGUGAUGAUGAUUUUGAAACCGAAAAAAUUGUAGCGAAACCUGUUUCAACCAAGAAAAGAAAAGUUGUUUCUGAUGACGCUAGUGCGUCAAAGAAAUAAAAAUCAAAGGAUGUUGGGGAACAUUCUAAUUUUGUAUGUCUUCAUUUUUUCUUAUAUUUUUUUUGUUGUUUUGUUUAAUUUAAUAGUUUUGUUUUUUUUCAUUUUGAUUUAACUGUAUUUUGUUUUAUGUUUAUUUAGGAUAAAGUUUGUGAGCCUAGGGUUGCUGAUGAUCCGAAGCUUGUUAAUGUUGCGAAGAAAGGCAAGAAGAAACCGGUUUCAAAAUCGCUCUGCAAGAAGAAGAGCGAGGCUCCUUCCGUUGACAUUCCUUUGGUAAUUUUUCUUUUUUUUUAAGAAACCGGUUUUUCAAUUUGUAAUUUUGCAUGUUUCAGGUUUUCUAUUUACAGUUUUUUUUUUUGAAUCUGUUUUUUUUAUAAUAUAUAUGUUUUUACUUUCAAUUUUUAGUUUAUAUCUUUGUGGUGGGUAACCAGUUUUUGAUUUUUUCUUUUUUUUUUCUUUGCGUAUUUUUAAUUUUGAUUGUUUAUAUUGUUUUUCCUAUCACAAGAAUAUUAUUUUAAAAUUGAUGUGAAGAAGAGGUUUGCUGGGAAACCUCAACUCUACAAUCCGUAUAAUGUCAUUGAUGAUAUCAACGAGAACCUGUCAGAUGAUCAGAAGGAGUUGUUUUGCAAGUCUCCAUUUGGGCAUUUUCUUGAUGUGAGCAACUUCAACUAUUAGAUUCAGCUGAUUCAUCUCGUUCUUUUGCGGCACACCGAAAGAGAUGAUGUCGAGCUUUGGUUCAAACUGGGAGACAAGGGUGUUCGUUUUGGAGUUGAAGAGUUUUCCACAAUAACUGGUUUGGAUUGUACUAAAUCCUAUGAUGUUGAUCUCUUCAAAUCAAAGAAGUUGCUUGCUUACAAGGAGGGUAUUUUUUGCAUGCACGGGCUUACUGAGAAGCUUACGGUGAAUGAAGUUGCUAGUGUCUUCUUCAGUGGUGCUUUGAAAGACGACGAAGAUUAUGUGAAGAUAGCCCUUGUAUACUUCUUCGCUGGUUAUUUGUAUGGUUAUCCCCAACGGAAAAAGAUUGACAACUUCAUCUUUGCUAUGGUUAAUGGGGAUUAUUACAUUGAAGUUUUUAAUCGGUUUGGAUGGGGGAAAUUAUUGUGGGAAAAGACUUUUCAUCACUUGAAGAUUGCAUUAAAAGAUGGGAACAACACCUUUGAACAGCUAGCUAAGAAGAAGAUGAUUGAGAAGGGUUACAAGCUUAAAGGCUUUCCUAUUGCAUUUCUUAUUUGGCUGUAUGAGAUUAUCCCGUCUUUGUCUCCUCGAUUUUGCAAUAGAAUCAGCAACAAGAUUCCUCGCGUUCUGAAUUGGGAGAAUAGCCCUACAACGGAGUUUAGUGAGUUGAUUCAGGCUGUGUUCAACAAUCCGAAGAUUGUUGUAAAGGAUUUUGUUGCUUCAAGUGGUGAAAAAUCUCAAAGGCUUUUUUCUAAAUUCAAGUUUGAUCCUAAAUAUGUUCCAAAGAGGAUUGGUGGCGCUGUGUCUUCUGAUGAAGUAAAUGAUGAUGUGAAGGUAUUAAAAACCGGUUUCUAUUUGCAUUUUUUUUGUGUAUGUUUAUCAUUAGUUAUGUUCAUGCUUUUUAUGUAUAUAAUAUUCAGGUAUCUCAUGGAAAGUUGGACCAGAUUUGUGCUGAAAUUACUUCUAUCAAAGAGUGCCAACAACAAAUCAAGGAUGGUAUUUCCAGCUUGAAGAUUGAGUUUUUUAGUGAAUUUGCUAAAUUAGCAGAAAUUAUCAAAGGAUUGAAGAAGAAGGAGAAUGAUGGAAGUUCUAAGGACUCUGAAUUUUUUUCAUCCCCUAUAAGAGAGGAAACUAGUUUCUUUUGUUUAGUGUUUUUUGAUUAUAGGUUUGUUGUUUAUGGUUUUACUAUAGUUGUGUAUCAUUUUUUUGAAACUAGUUUGUGUAUUGAAUGUCUUUUUAUAUUAUUUUACACAGUUGUUUGAAACAGGUUUCUGUUUUGAAAAACGUUUUUUCUGUUUGUUGGCACUGGUUUAUGGGUGGGGUUUAGGUGUAUGUUUUUGUGUUUUAUUCUAAGAAACCAGUUUCUUCAUUUAUGCUGUUCUUGGUUUUUUUUUUAUAUUUUUUUCAUCAUCUUGUUUAAUGUAGUUUCUGUGUUGGAAGUGUUAUGUCAUGAUUUUUGACUGUUAGUGAAAACAGGUUUCUGUAGGAACCAGUUUAUGAUCUUUGUUUCUUACCAUAUUUUUUUGUUAUUUUCUGUAGGAAACCAGUUUCUAUAUUUAUGUUAAAAAUCUUGUUUCAAUUAAUUUAUGGUUCAGGCAUACUAUCAGGAUAUAUCGGAUGAUGGUGGUGGGUUACAGUUGUCCGUUCAUUCUGUUCAAGCUGAGGUACAAGCUUUUUCACAUUUAUGUUUUGCAUUGUUUGGAUGUUAAUGUUCAUUCUAAAUAUUUUUUAUUCAAUUUUGUAGGAGAAAAAGGACACUUUGAAUUUUGAAAAUAUGUUUAUCGAUCCUUAUUUUCUUAAGGGUGUGGUUGAUAGCACUGUUAAGAGUGCUUUGAAGACAGAUGAUGUUUCGUUUCAUGAUGAUAGUCAUAAGUUGAGUUUGGUUUUGUACGAUGAAUCGUAUUUGUCUCUGGAGGUUCAAAAGAGGCAGCCCAAACCAAGCUCUGUUGUUCUGUCGCCAUAUGUUGUGGACUUUGGGUCUUCGUCAUCUUCGAAGGAAGACUUAAUGAGGAUUGUGCAAAAUGAUAAAUUUAUUGUGCAUGGAAUCAAUCCUUUUAAAGAUGAAAUUGGUUUUAAUACUGGUGCUGAGCAGUGCAUUAAGUUUUCUAAAUUUAUUGAUGAGAACAUUGUCAUGAAUAGGGGUGUGAAGAAGUACUCUGAUGCGGACAACAUCUUAUAUCCACCGAUGGAUUUUUCUUUCAUUGAAAUUUCCGAGAAGAUGUGGUUCUACGAGCUUCAUGCUUGUGGUGUAUUUCUGCGUGACUGUAAGAAACUGGUUUCUUUUUAUUAUUUUCUAUGUCUUUGAUAUUUGAGUAUAUGUUUCUGGUAUCGGUUCUUUUCAAAAACCGGUUUCUGAUGAUGUGUUUAUUGCAUUUCUGUAGCAUUUAGAUGUGGUAUUCUAUUACCUUAGGAAGAAGAUUAAGCAAGACGAUACUUUGAACCAGAGGAUUACCACGACCGAUUGUUUGUUUGAUCAAGUCAUGUGGAAUUCCUACAAUCAGUUCUUGAAAUCGGGUUCUAAUCCUUCUAAGAUUGACUUUGAUAAUGUCAUUCCUAGAUACAUUGUUGGUGAGUAUUUGUUUUGCAAUACUCUUUGGGUGCUUACUGACCAUGUUCUUAUACAUGUCAAUAUUCAAAAGCAAAAACAUUGGAUAUUGGUCCAUUUUGACAUCAAGGAGAGGAUGUUGAACGUAUAUAACUCCAUGUCUGGUGCUCUCAACAAGAAACGCGCUUUGGAUCAUGUGAAAGCUUAUUCUACUAUGCUGCCAUUUUAUUUGGAGUAUCUUGAUGUUUAUUCUUCUAGGCCGGAUCUUAAUUUGGAUCAAGGUCCAUAUUCUGUUGGGAAAAGAGAACCUUUGAAUUUCACGUUCAUAGAUGGUCUUCCAAGUCAAGUCAAUAAGUAAUUCUUCCUCUUUUCAUCAUAUAUUUUUUUUAAUUGAAACUAGUUUUUAUGUUUGGUUCUGUUUAUAUUUUUUGUCAGGUUUUGCUCUGUUUGGACAGAAACCGGUUUUUUUACUGGAUUUUUUUUUUGUUUAAUUGCAGGGACUGUGGAGUGUUUGUCAUCAAAUUUGCUGAAUUUUUUAUUUGUGGGAAAAUUGAUGACAUUCCAGCUAACAUGUCUGAUUUGGUAGCGGUAUAUAGAGAUGAUAUUGCUGUGAGUUUGUUUAUUCAUGCUAAGAGGAAACAAAUUGGUGGUUAUAUAACUGAUGAUGAAGUGUUGAGAAAGGGGAAGAAAUCAAAGGAUAAUGCAAGUGUUAAGGCAAAGGUCAAAGGGAAGGAUAUUCCAAAGGGAAAGGGCAAAGCAAAAUGAUUUCAAACAAUGUUCUAUAGUUUUUAGUUUUCAGACAAACUGGUUUCAUUUGUUUUUUUUUUUUUUUUUGUAUUUGGUAUUUUAAGACAAUGUUAUAUAGUUUUUUAGUGUUGUUUUUUUUUUUUGAAAGACUUGUUACUUAAUUAAAGUGGUUGUAUUUUUAUUUUUUUUUUUUUUGUAAAGACUGGAUGUUUCAAUGAAUCAGCAACACUUUGUAUUAUAAGUUUUUAGUUCAUGGCUAAAUUUUUUUUUCUUUAUUUUUUUUUUGUAACUAGUUUCUUUUUUACUAUUAAUUUCAAUUUUUUUUUUAUUUGAAUGUACUGUUGACUGAUUUUUGUUUUUGU